UUAAGUUAUUAAGGGCGCACGGUGGAUGCCUUGGCACUAGAAGCCGAUGAAGGACGUUACUAACGACGAUAUGCUUUGGGGAGCUGUAAGUAAGCUUUGAUCCAGAGAUUUCCGAAUGGGGAAACCCAGCAUGAGUUAUGUCAUGUUAUCGAUAUGUGAAUACAUAGCAUAUCAGAAGGCACACCCGGAGAACUGAAACAUCUUAGUACCCGGAGGAAGAGAAAGAAAAUUCGAUUCCCUUAGUAGCGGCGAGCGAAACGGGAAGAGCCCAAACCAACAAGCUUGCUUGUUGGGGUUGUAGGACACUCUAUACGGAGUUACAAAGGACGACAUUAGACGAAUCAUCUGGAAAGAUGAAUCAAAGAAGGUAAUAAUCCUGUAGUCGAAAAUGUUGUCUCUCUUGAGUGGAUCCUGAGUACGACGGAGCACGUGAAAUUCCGUCGGAAUCUGGGAGGACCAUCUCCUAAGGCUAAAUACUCUCUAGUGACCGAUAGUGAACCAGUACCGUGAGGGAAAGGUGAAAAGCACCCCGGAAGGGGAGUGAAAUAGAACCUGAAACCGUGUGCUUACAAGUAGUCAGAGCCCGUUAAUGGGUGAUGGCGUGCCUUUUGUAGAAUGAACCGGCGAGUUACGAUUUGAUGCAAGGUUAAGCAGUAAAUGUGGAGCCGUAGCGAAAGCGAGUCUGAAUAGGGCGUUUAGUAUUUGGUCGUAGACCCGAAACCAGGUGAUCUACCCUUGGUCAGGUUGAAGUUCAGGUAACACUGAAUGGAGGACCGAACCGACUUACGUUGAAAAGUGAGCGGAUGAACUGAGGGUAGCGGAGAAAUUCCAAUCGAACCUGGAGAUAGCUGGUUCUCUCCGAAAUAGCUUUAGGGCUAGCCUCAAGUGAUGAUUAUUGGAGGUAGAGCACUGUUUGGACGAGGGGCCCCUCUCGGGUUACCGAAUUCAGACAAACUCCGAAUGCCAAUUAAUUUAACUUGGGAGUCAGAACAUGGGUGAUAAGGUCCGUGUUCGAAAGGGAAACAGCCCAGACCACCAGCUAAGGUCCCAAAAUAUAUGUUAAGUGGAAAAGGAUGUGGCGUUGCCCAGACAACUAGGAUGUUGGCUUAGAAGCAGCCAUCAUUUAAAGAGUGCGUAAUAGCUCACUAGUCGAGUGACACUGCGCCGAAAAUGUACCGGGGCUAAACAUAUUACCGAAGCUGUGGAUUGUCCUUUGGACAAUGGUAGGAGAGCGUUCUAAGGGCGUUGAAGCAUGAUCGUAAGGACAUGUGGAGCGCUUAGAAGUGAGAAUGCCGGUGUGAGUAGCGAAAGACGGGUGAGAAUCCCGUCCACCGAUUGACUAAGGUUUCCAGAGGAAGGCUCGUCCGCUCUGGGUUAGUCGGGUCCUAAGCUGAGGCCGACAGGCGUAGGCGAUGGAUAACAGGUUGAUAUUCCUGUACCACCUAUAAUCGUUUUAAUCGAUGGGGGGACGCAGUAGGAUAGGCGAAGCGUGCGAUUGGAUUGCACGUCUAAGCAGUAAGGCUGAGUAUUAGGCAAAUCCGGUACUCAUUAAGGCUGAGCUGUGAUGGGGAGAAGACAUUGUGUCUUCGAGUCGUUGAUUUCACACUGCCGAGAAAAGCCUCUAGAUAGAAAAUAGGUGCCCGUACCUCAAACCGACACAGGUAGUCAAGAUGAGAAUUCUAAGGUGAGCGAGCGAACUCUCGUUAAGGAACUCGGCAAAAUGACCCCGUAACUUCGGGAGAAGGGGUGCUCUUUAGGGUUAACGCCCAGAAGAGCCGCAGUGAAUAGGCCCAAGCGACUGUUUAUCAAAAACACAGGUCUCUGCUAAACCGUAAGGUGAUGUAUAGGGGCUGACGCCUGCCCGGUGCUGGAAGGUUAAGAGGAGUGGUUAGCUUCUGCGAAGCUACGAAUCGAAGCCCCAGUAAACGGCGGCCGUAACUAUAACGGUCCUAAGGUAGCGAAAUUCCUUGUCGGGUAAGUUCCGACCCGCACGAAAGGCGUAACGAUUUGGGCACUGUCUCAACGAGAGACUCGGUGAAAUCAUAGUACCUGUGAAGAUGCAGGUUACCCGCGACAGGACGGAAAGACCCCGUGGAGCUUUACUGUAGCCUGAUAUUGAAAUUCGGCACAGCUUGUACAGGAUAGGUAGGAGCCUUUGAAACGUGAGCGCUAGCUUACGUGGAGGCGCUGGUGGGAUACUACCCUAGCUGUGUUGGCUUUCUAACCCGCACCACUUAUCGUGGUGGGAGACAGUGUCAGGCGGGCAGUUUGACUGGGGCGGUCGCCUCCUAAAAGGUAACGGAGGCGCUCAAAGGUUCCCUCAGAAUGGUUGGAAAUCAUUCAUAGAGUGUAAAGGCAUAAGGGAGCUUGACUGCGAGACCUACAAGUCGAGCAGGGUCGAAAGACGGACUUAGUGAUCCGGUGGUUCCGCAUGGAAGGGCCAUCGCUCAACGGAUAAAAGCUACCCCGGGGAUAACAGGCUUAUCUCCCCCAAGAGUUCACAUCGACGGGGAGGUUUGGCACCUCGAUGUCGGCUCAUCGCAUCCUGGGGCUGUAGUCGGUCCCAAGGGUUGGGCUGUUCGCCCAUUAAAGCGGUACGCGAGCUGGGUUCAGAACGUCGUGAGACAGUUCGGUCCCUAUCCGUCGUGGGCGUAGGAAAUUUGAGAGGAGCUGUCCUUAGUACGAGAGGACCGGGAUGGACAUACCUCUGGUGUACCAGUUGUCGUGCCAACGGCAUAGCUGGGUAGCUAUGUGUGGACGGGAUAAGUGCUGAAAGCAUCUAAGCAUGAAGCCCCCCUCAAGAUGAGAUUUCCCAACUUCGGUUAUAAGAUCCCUCAAAGAUGAUGAGGUUAAUAGGUUCGAGGUGGAAGCAUGGUGACAUGUGGAGCUGACGAAUACUAAUCGAUCGAAGACUUAAUCAA
rnacentral:rRNA from 1 species